rnacentral:rRNA from 1 species
UGCCUUUAGGUAAGGGAUAAUCUCGGGAAACUGAGGAUAAUACCUUAUAAGAAGUGAGAUCUGGAACGCCUUACUUCUCAAAGUUUCGGCGCCUAAGGAUGGGACUGCGCCUGAUUAGGCUGUUGGUGGUGUAAUGGACCACCAAACCUGUGAUCAGUACGGGCCAUGAGAGUGGUAGCCCGGAGAAGGGGACUGAGACAAGGCCCCUAGCCCUACGGGGUGCAGCAGUUACGAAACCUUUACAAUGCACGAAAGUGUGAUAAGGGAAUCCCAAGUGCCAUGGCUAUGCUAUGACUGUGGAGAAGUGUAAAGUACUUUUCAAGAAAGGGGUGGGUAAUACCGGUGCCAGCAGCCGCGGUAAUACCGGAGCCUCGAGUGGUGGCCGCGUUUAUUGGGCCUAAAGCGCUCGUAGCCGGAUUAGUAAGUUCUCGGUGAAAUUGUCUAGCUUAACUGGACGAAUUGCCUUGAAUACUGCUAGUCUAGGGAUAGGGAAAGGUCAGAAGUAUGCCAGGGGGGAGGGGUUAAAAUUCCUUUAAAUCCUUGGUAGACUAUCAAUGGCCGAAAGGGCACUUGGACUGAAACUAGUUCCGACGGUGAGGGACGAAAGCUAGGUAGCAAACCGGAUUAGAAUAACCCCGGUAGUCUUAGCUGUAACGCUGCCCGCUGG